CUCACAAGGCUGCAGUCAAGAUGACAUCUGGAUCUUCGGUCAUCUCCAGGCUGGUUGGGGGGAAACAUCUGCUUUUGAGCUCACUCAGGUGGCUGUUCGCGGCCAGGGUCCUCCAUUACUAGGUGAGUCAGUAGUUCCUGACUCUCAUCAAGAGGGAGAGUAUGUUACACAAAACGAUGUGUACCAAAGAUGGCAAUCGUGGGAGACCCUUAAAGGCUGCCCUCUAUACUUUGGUGGGACUUGACCUCAGCUAGCCACCACUAGAAUCUUUGCAUCCUUACUAGGAAGUGAGCUAGGAGAACAUUUGAUCAAGCCCUUCUGGGAUCCUGACAGCAGCUUGCCUAGAAGUUCCUCGCCCAAGGGUGCCUGUGUGGCUCCGUCCGUUCAGCGUCUGACUCUUGAUUUUGGUUCAGGUCGUGAUCCCAUGAUCUUUUGAAAUACUGCCCAACGUCCCAUUCUGCACUUGAGUGGGAAGCCUGUCUACGAAUCUCUCUCUCUCUCUGCCCCUCCCUGCUUGCAUGUGUGUGUGCCUUCUCCCUUUCUCUCUCUC